UACGGGGGGGGGCAAGCGUUGUUCGGAAUUACUGGGCGUGAAGGGCUCGUAGGCGGCCAACUAAGUCGGAUGUGAAAUCCCCAGGCUCAACCUGGGAACUGCAUCCGAUACUGGAUGGCUUGAAUUCGGGAGAGGGAUGCAGAAUUCCAGGUGUAGCGGUGAAAUGCGUAGAUAUCAAGCGGAACACCGGUGGCGAAGGCGGCCUUCUGGACGAUGACUGACGCUGAGACGCGAAAGCGUGGGGAGCAAACAGG
rnacentral:rRNA from 1 species